rnacentral:lncRNA from 1 species
UACUUUACAUGAAAAAAGUAUACAAAAGAUAUAAUCAAGGAAAACAAAUAUGCUUUACGAAAGAAAUCAUUUCAUCCUAGAGAUUGAGAAGUCUAGCCACUCAUUGUGUUGAGUCCUCUUGCUUCCAGCAUCUUCAUCUUUGAAAACUCCAAAUUUCUUGGAUGAAAGGGUGAAGAAAAAAGGAAGAAGAAGAAAGAAAGAAGAGAGAAGGGAAGAGGUGAGGCAUGGAGAUGAGGAUCUAUGGGGCGUUGGGGAUUUACGCUUUGUUUGGAUUGGAGGUACACGAGAGUUUAUAAGGGGAGGGG